rnacentral:lncRNA from 1 species
UGUUGGUGAGAGCAUGCAUGAUGAUGGCGCCCUGGUGUUUGCGUACUACAAGGAGGGUUCAGCUGAUCCUACCUUUUUGUACAUUGCACCUGGUUUGAAGGAGAUCAAGUGCUAGAUGUCUGGUGGAGUGCUUCUGCUAGAAGUUUUGCAUUCGAGAUUAUGUUUCAUGUAGUUUUUAAUAUUUGGUCUUUUUUGCUUAUUUAUGUCUGGUGUUUCUUCUAAACCUUGGGUACUUGCUGUAACCAGUACGGCAGUACCUGCAGUUUUUCUUUAUCAUAUGAUCUUAUUAUGUGGGACAGCAAAUGGUUAGCUGAUUGAAUUGGAAGUGUUCUGAUUAACAAUUUUGCCUAUUUGAUCUUUUAAAACAAAUUUGAUAUGUUGCCUGAACUUGCUGUUUAGUACUUAAUUUAACUUCUUUACUUUCCAUUUCAUUUGUUGUUUGCCCAUACCUAAAAUGAAGGUCGAUGCUUCGUAAUUGUAUGAAUUGAGGAUCAAGGUAUUUAAGAUUAAAAUUUAUUUUGCUGCUAGGCCAAACAUUCCUGAGAGCCUCACUUUUUAACUGUCACGUGUCCACUUAUCAUUUGAUUCAUGUGUAGUAUGAGCAAAUUUUAGGUAUAACAAAGAUUCACAUCAUAUAAAUAUGAUAUAGCUAUAGUUUGUAAAUUUUGUGUUUGCUACAAAAUUGUUAAUCUCUAUAUUUUGGGACUCCUUCCCUUUUAUAUGUAAUCUGAUUUUUUAAAAAAUAAAAAGAAAGUAAUUUCUUCUUUUCUAAGAUAAAAAGAAGAAAUUCGUUAAACUGUGCACAUAAUAGGAUUCUUUUCCUUCUAUGUCUUCUUCAUUAGUAAUAUAUAAGUAUUUUUCUUUUAUACAACAAAAAAAAAGAAUAUAUACUUAAACCAAUUUUUAUACCAUGUAUGUGUUCUUUGUUGCUUGUCAAUUUUUUUAAAUGCUUUGGCCCCAAUCGAUUAAGAAAAACUGGUUUGGGGAGAUUUUAGGGGAAUCGAAAGAAAAUGGGAGAGAAAAAGAUGGGGAAUAGAUUUGUAAAAGAAUAUUUCAUCUUCUAUAAAAAUGGGUGGGUUCCAACUAAAUGACAAAAAUUGUGUUACAUAUGCUACUUGAUUUAUAUAUUUGCUAUUAUGUAUAAUAUUUCUCAAUAAUCUAUCAUGUGCCUACUUGUUAUGAACAAUCUUAAGACAUGUAUAACGAGCAAAGAACGAUAAAGACGAGUUGUGGUGAACUUUUGAGGAAAUCAGUUGGUCACUUAAUUAUUAACUCUUUUUUUUUUGAGAAAGUCUUUAAUUUUGAUUUUUAAUUUGAAAGUCGUUUGACUAUACUUUUUUCUCUCAAAAAGUCACUUAACUUGAACUCAAAAUCUGCUCAAAAAUGUUUUAUAUACAAAGUCACUUAAUCUAUUUACUUGAUUUUUUCAUUAAAUUUGUUAAUAUGAAUUUUUAGUUAGAAUCAAAAAUUUAAAAACAUAAAAAGACUUUUAGAUUUAUGGGUUUUUGUCUAGUCUAUCUGAAGAUUGAUUUUGAUUUAUGGUUUACGUUACUUUUAAUGUUCUAACCAUUAACAUAUGUAUAAACAUAAUUCUCAUUUUAAGAUUUGUGAUAGAUUCUUAGAAAUAGAUAUCUUUUUACUUCUUAAAUUUUGAUUUUAAAUAAAAAGUUUGUAUUAACAAAUAUUAACUGAAAAAGAAUCAAUGAAAUAUUUAUAAGUAAAACUUUUCCCAUUAAAUGAUGUAGGGCUUAAUAUCAAAAUUAAAUGACAUUUUAAAAGAUAAAUUCAUAGUUAUAAUCAUAUGCGAUAUUACGCAAACUCAGUUAAUUUCUCUACUAACAAAACAUAUCACAUACGGAAAACAAAUACCUCAGACCAUCUCCAAUUCAACACAAAUUUUAUAUCAAAUUUUAUAUUUAGCGUAAAAAUUGGUAUUUUGAGCUCCAAUUCAUAUCAAUUUUUACAUCAACUUUAGUCUGUGAAUAGUGUCACAUCAUCGCACCAAUUCACUUUUUGAAUAUUAUAAUAUUAUUUUAUCAUACAAAUUAUUAAUUAAAUAUUAUAUAAAUUGUAUAUCUUAAUUAAAUCUCUUGUAUAUUUAAUUAUUUUUAUGUAAUAAUUUUAUAAUAUUAACUUUAGAUAUAAAAUUUAGCUUUUUUAUAAAUUAUUUUUUCUAUAUAUGACUUAAAAAAAUAUUAUGUUAAUUUUACUAGAAAUUAUAAUUGAAUAUAAACUAGAAUUAAUCUUCACGAAAAUUAAAAAUGCAAAUGUAUAAAUUUGUAAAGAAAUAAUACAAUGUACUUAAAAAUAACCAAAAUAAUAAACAUUCAACAAAGUAGUAAUUGACAUACAUUGGAAUUGAAAUAUAAAAUACAUAUUAAUUUUAAAAAGUACAACAAAACAUAAUGAUUUUUGUAUUAAACGAUUAUUAAAAAAAAUAUGAAUUAUAUAAAACGAAUGUUUUAGAAAGAAUUUGUUUUAUGACAUAAGAAAAUAUAAAUGAAAUUAGAAAUAAUAAUAUAAUAAUGGGAAAAAAAACCCAGUUUUGAUGCAAAAUUUGGUGUAGUGGGUUGAAAUUGAUUACACCAAAAAUAAUGCUGACACCAAAGUUGAUGUAAAAUUUGGUGUUUGGGUUAAGACGCUCUUAUAAAGUAAAACAAAAACUACAAACAAAUGUACUAAUAGUAUCAUUGACUAAUAAGUGAUUUUUGGACAAGAAAUUCCAAUGAUACCACAAUAAUAGACAUAUAUUCUAAUAGUAUAAUUGACUAAUGACUAAUUUCUGAAUAAUAAACCUUAAUGAUACCACAAUAAUAUAAUUAUACUCUUAUAUCAUUGACUAAUGAGUAAAUUCUGAACAAGAAGUUUUAAUGAUAUAAAUACAAUAUAUAUAAGAUUUCAUAUCAGUUAAGCGAAUAUUAUCAGCCUUAAUGAAUAGAGAAUAUGGAAUGUAAUUUUUUUUUAAAGAGAGAAUAGACACUUUGAAUUAUUUUAGAUUGGGAUAUCAACAUAUAAUUAUUUUAAAUUUUAUAAUGGAGAAUAUGGACUAUAACUUUUUUUUUUUUUGAGAAAAUAGGUAUUUUUUGAAUUAUUUUAAAUUAGGAUGUGAACAUUAAUUAUUUUGAAUUCUAUGAUGUAUUUAUAUAGUUUUUCCUACCGAAAAAGGCAAAUUGUUCUUCACAUUAUAUAUAUAUAUAUAUAUAUAUAUAUAUAUAUAUAUAUAUAUAUAUAUAUAUAUAUAUAUAUAUGUUAGUGAAAUUUGAAAUAUGUGAAUGUUUGUCAUUUUUAGGUAAGGGUGUUUACAGUUUUAAUGAAUGUCAAUCUAAAUUGAAAAAUUAAAUUAAAAUUGAUUAAAUUAAUUGAUUUUAUUUGAAUUUAAAUUUUUUAAAAAAUGAUAUUAUUUUAUUUGAUUAUAAAAAUUGAAGAAUUAAUCAAAUCGAAUUGAUAAAUUAUGUACAUAUUUUAUUGUUAUACAUGCAUAAUAUUUAUUUUUCGAACAAGUUAAAUAUCUUAUAUAUAAAUAUUCAUAAAAAGAUUUUUAGAAUUUAUUUAUGUAAAACAAAAACUGCAUAAGAUGAAAACAUUUAUCAUAUUUUUUUGGUGGUACUAAGAAUGUCAUUAUUCUUCCUUCUAAAUUCUAUUCGUAGUAAAUUCAGUAAUGGAAAGUUUUAUAAUAUUAGUCGUUAAGGGUGUUUACAGUUUCAGCGAAUAUCAAUCUAAAUUGAAAAAACAAAUUAAAAUCGAUGAAAUUAAUUGAUUUUAUUUGAUUUAAUUUUUUAAAAAAUUAAUACUAUUUUAUUUUGAUUAAAAAAAUUAAAGAAUUAAUCAAAUCGGAUUAAUAAAUUAUGUACAUAUUUUAUUGUUAUACAUGCAUAAUAUUUAGUUUUUGAUAAAUACCUUAUAUAUAAAUAUUCAUAAAAAAAUAUUUAGAAUUUAUUUAUGUAAACAAAAAACGCAUAUGAUGAGAACAUUUAUCAUAUCUUUUUGGUGGUUACUGUCAUUGUUCUUCCUUCUAAACUCUAUAUGCAUAGUAAAAUUCAGUGAUUCAAAGUUUUAUAAUAUUAGUUAUUUAAUUUUUUUUCGUUUUGAAUAAAUUGUUAUUAUCUUUUUUCUCUUUUUGUUAAUUUUUUUGUGUAUAAUUAAUAAUUGGACCGAUAAAUAUAUAUUAUAUUUAUUUUUGUUUGAUUUUGAUAAUCUAAAAAUCAUUCAAAUUGAUUUAUUUUUAUUUCUUCCAAUAACUGAGUGAAACUGACUCGUGAACACUCCAUUUUUUCACGACCUCAAUUACUCCCCUUUGUUCCUAACCACUUAUUCAUUUUUUAAUUGACAGUGAAUUUACUGUUCUAUAUAUAUUAACAAUGGAAUAGAUAAAUCAAAAAUUAAAAAAGCUAUACCUUUUUUAAAAUUAAUUAAUUGAGAAUAUAAUAAAUUUAAUUUAAUUAUAUUUUAAUUUGUUGAAAUAAGAAAAAAAAUAAAAAAAAAUAAGUAAUUAGAGACAGAACAGUAGUCAAACACAAAAAUAUCGUAUAAAAAUUGGGUUAUUUAGAUUAAUUUCCAAGUCCCAGUCGGUUAUAGCAAACCCGAAUUCUCAGGUUAUAAAUACCCGUUCACGCUCUCUACGUUUUUUUUCUUGUUAUCGUCCUCCUCUUCUUCGAAAGCAAAAGUUUAAUCUGCCAUCAUGUUGGUUUAUCAAGAUCUCCUCACUGGUAAUUUUUCUUGUUUCCAUCCUAAUUUUUUUUUUAUAUUUUAUCCUUUGUAGUUUUUUUUCAUUCAUAGAAUGCCCGGUUCCGUUUUGUGCUCUGUUUUUACGUAUAUUUUUCUGGUUAUCGUUUUCGGCCAUUCUCUUGGUCAUGUUUUGUGUUAAUCUUUUGAUAGGAAUUUUGUAAUCUUGAGUUUUGGAUUGUAUUGUUUUAUUGGCUUGUAACUGUUAUUGAUUAAAUAAUAAUGAAAUUUUGUAUGAAUUUCUGUUCUUUGAUGCUUGAUAAGAUCUGGUUGAUUUGGCUGGUGUUACUGAAUGUUUUCCCAAGGUGCUAUGCUAUUAACACUUCCUCUUUUCUUUAUUUUUUAUUGAUUAUUGGGGGGGGAAUUAAGGAACUGGAUCAGCUCUGGUGUUUUACGUGUCGAUCCCAUCUUAAACGGUUUUUAAAGCCCCAAAUUGUUUUAACUGUGAUCCUGAAUAUUGUGUAUGAGUGUUUUGGAUCCAUGAGAUUAUUGUGUGAGCAACACUUAAUUUAUUAUGGUGCAAAUUUUGUCAAUUUUAUAUGACAAACAUAAAAAGAUGUGUUCUUGCGCAAGCCCCAUAAAUCUGCAAAAAACUUUUGUCAAGUCAGUGGUUUCUAGUAAUUUCAUUAUCAAUUUGAACAUCUUAUAGUUUAUCUGGCUAUGGUAGUCAUAAAGAAAAUUAGAGAUUGCAGGCUUUUUUCUGUAUGAUAUUUGAUUCUUCUAUUGGUUAGCUACAUUAUUCGUUGUUUGGUGCACCUCCGUGUUUCUUUAUAUGCACAAGUUCCUUAAUUUUUGGGUAGCUGUUACUGUGGUCUUAGACAAGACUUGCUUUCUGCACUCAAUCACAAUGGUUUCCCGAACAUCUCUGUGAUUUGGAUUCUCAGAGCAUGUAGGUUGUUUCUGUUAAUAUAGACUUUAAAAGAGGACAUUCAGCUUGUAGGAAUAUUUGGUUUUCAUAUAUUCUUCAUGAUGGGUUGCUAUUUUGAAACUUAAAAUACUGGAAAACAAAUUGCAGGUGAUGAGCUUCUCUCAGACUCAUUUCCCUACAAAGAACUCGAGAAUGGAAUGCUUUGGGAAGUUCAAGGGAAGGUAGGGUCUCCAGUUAAUUAUUGCUUCCAAACUUUCAUAUAUUAGCAAACCAAAUUUUGGUGGACUAUCUAGUCUAUGUAAAAAGAAAUAAUGUGGUGCAUUGUUUACAUUACAGUGGGUUGUUCAAGGUGCCGUUGAUGUAAACAUUGGGGCAAAUCCUUCUGCUGAGGGUGGAGGUGAAGAUGAAGGUGUGGAUGACCAAGCUGUCAAGGUUGUCGAUAUUGUUGACACUUUUAGACUUCAGGUUUGUAUACAUAGUUAUGGAGGUUUCAGUCAGAUUUUUAUAUACCUUUGAAUUAUGUGAAUAAUUGGUGGUUUGUUAUUGCAGGAACAACCUGCUUUUGACAAGAAACAAUUUGUUACCUACAUGAAGAGAUACAUCAAGAACCUGACACCCAAGCUAGAAGGAGAAACACAAGAAGCAUUUAAAAAGAACAUUGAAUCAGCAACUAAGUUUCUUUUGCAAAAGAUCAAGGACUUGCAAUUGUAUGUCCAUUUUAAAUUGUUUUAUGACAUCGUCUAAGCUAUUUCUUACUGAAGUUGAAUGUGUUCUGUUUUCCUUCUACUACAUACUUGGCACCUUUAAUAGAAACUGAUACUAUGUGUGUUUGUGUUGGCAGCUUUGUUGGUGAGAGCAUGCAUGACGACAGUGCCCUGGUGUUUGCGUACUACAAGGAUGGUUCAGCUGAUCCUACCUUUUUGUACCUUGCACCUGGCUUGAAGGAGAUCAAGUGCUAGAUGUCUGGUGGAGUGCUUCUGCUACAAGUUUUGCAUUCGAGAUUAUGUUUCAUGUAGUUUUAAUAUUUGUUCCUUUUUGCUUGUUUAUGUCUAU